rnacentral:rRNA from 1 species
CGACCACGCGCGGGGUGGUGGCGGUGGAGGGUAUCGGUGACUACAGGGGCGGUAGUCGCACGCGGGGUGGUGGCGGUGGAGGGUGUCGGAGGUACCUGGGCAGCAACCGCGCGCGGGGCGGUAUUGGUCGCAGCAACCUGCACCAGCGGCACGGGGGGCGUGCGCUCGCGGUGGCUCUGGAAGCAGGCUGUACUGGCAACGUAGAGACUUGGCUUUUCGCGGUGGCUGGCGGGCUGAAGAAGGGGACUGGUGGCGGCCGGGGGACGGAGUCCGUUGGGGGAAGAGAAGGAAGACCCGCGUUGGCGCUAGAGGAAGAGUCAAGUUUACUCGCAAUCGGUGAUAGGUUCAGCUUAGGGUAAGCACCCUAUUCAGACCGAUGGUAAGACAGAGGAACUUUGGUAACCAAGUAUAGACGAUUAGGGAAUUGAAGUGGGACUUAUACAUCGCAGUUGUAGUUGAGGUUGUUCAUCAAGGAGUUCAGGCCGGUCACCGGUGUCGAGUAGUAGUUGAGACGGGCGGUGUGUCACAUCCACAAGUAGUUGCUGGUUAGGAAGCCAUAGCAGACUUUGAGAGUUAGAAAAACAGAGUUGGCAUGGCACGGGACGACUUACAAUAGGACGAUGAAUGACUACUCGUAGCUUAGGAAACCAGACACAGGUAGAAUAGUAGCACCACCACCAACUCAUGUAGAGACAUUCAAAACAUUCAAGUCUCUGUCCUUUGGCCAUUCAAAUCUGUUUUAAAUUUGACAGUUUCUUGUACUCAAAAACAUGUCAAAUCUUGUAACUGGCAGCGAUGGGUAAGUUCAUUAGUGUUAUGGUAGUACCUACUGUUGUCAAGUUUGACAGUACCUACUACGUUCAACAUAGGCACAUGUAUCAAUAAAUAAAGAUAAUACUGUUCAAGUUGACUAGUUUACGAUGUUCAAACGCACAAUAAAAGAUCCGUCAUGUUCACUAUUAACAAGAAUAAAGAAGUGGUAAAAAAGAUAUUGGACCUGAGACAUCUCUUCCAUCGCUCACGAGAAACACUAUAAUUAAACUAGUUUUGACUUGUUCCACAAGGGUAAAAUUGAUUCGGAAGAGGUAAUAAAGAUACUAUGUAAAAACGUAUCUACUAUCAUGUAGACGUCAAAAAACACUUUUCAGCUCUGUGACUUGUACAGAUGACGUACAACGUAUAGGUCAAUCCAAUCCAACAUGACAAGUGAAUCAUAAUAUAAAAAACUUUGAGUGGGUUUUUGUUAACAACUCUACAUAAAGUAUCGGAGUACGGUUGUAUUGAUAUUUUUAUUUGUAAGUUCCCCUGGCUCAAGUCACUUAUACACAAUCUUUUCAAGUUAAGUUGGGACGUGAAUUCAAGUUAUGUAUUAUCUUAUGCUAUAACGGUUGAAUAGGAGGCCGUCGUCCACUACGAGGGGACGGUGGUGAGAAGGAGGAGGGACUACCAUGAUGCGGUGGUGGUGCAUGUUCGUCAAGCGUCGGUGGUGGGGACAGACAAGUUACAGCAGUCACACCUGCGUAGGGUGAGGUUACGGUACCGAAUAUUAAGUUGCCGUUUGUCACCUCGGACGACCUCCUCAACGCCCCAACUCCUGGAGGACGGGUUGUCAUGUUGAAGAACAAAACACCGGUCAGCGAGUUCCUCGACUCACGUCCGGCGAGGAACGAUGUUCGACGAUGACGUGGAUGCUGACAGAUCGAGUCGACGUCGUAAAGACGACGACGACUACGUACGGGGAACGGGUGGCUGUGGUGGAUGGAGACGGAGGCGCUGGAGCGGGCCGGCGAGUCGGUUGCCUCGAGCUGCUUCUCGUGGGGCCAUUGAACCUACUUUUCCAGAGCCUCUCCCAAAACAUACUCUAAGAAUAAGUCCAUCCAGCACAUCAUCUGAACGUGUAUGGGGCACUGUUCCUUUGAUCAGCUGGGUUUGCAAAACGAAAACGACUCAUACUUUAUCUCCUCUAACGGGUCAUAAAGUGAAUCAUAAUAUAAAAAACUUUGAGUGGGUUUUUGUUAACAACUCUACAUAAAGUAUCGGAGUACGGUUGUAUUGAUAUUUUUAUUUGUAAGUUCCCCUGGCUCAAGUCACUUAUACACAAUCUUUUCAAGUUAAGUUGGGACGUGAAUUCAAGUUAUGUAUUAUCUUAUGCUAUAACGGUUGAAUAGGAGGCCGUCGUCCACUACGAGGGGACGGUGGUGAGAAGGAGGAGGGACUACCAUGAUGCGGUGGUGGUGCAUGUCCGUCAAGCGUCGGUGGUGGGGACAGACAAGUUACAGCAGUCACACCUGCGUAGGGUGAGGUUACGGUACCGAAUAUUAAGUUGCCGUUUGUCACCUCGGACGACCUCCUCAACGCCCCAACUCCUGGAGGACGGGUUGUCAUGUUGAAGAACAAAACACCGGUCAGCGAGUUCCUCGACUCACGUCCGGCGAGGAACGAUGUUCGACGAUGACGUGGAUGCUGACAGAUCGAGUCGACGUCGUAAAGACGACGACGACUACGUACGGGGAACGGGUGGCUGUGGUGGAUGGAGACGGAGGCGCUGGAGCGGGCCGGCGAGUCGGUUGCCUCGAGCUGCUUCUCGUGGGGCCAUUGAACCUACUUUUCCAGAGCCUCUCCCAAAACAUACUCUAAGAAUAAGUCCGGCACCUAAUGCGGGUCGUGCAGCAAGGUGUUACUCGGUCCUAUCUCCAACAACCUGUGACAGCACGUGCGUCACUCGUUGACACCGGCAACCGGUGGGGAAGCCAAUCUUUUUCCAAAGUGAAGUGAAACGACUUCAAGUAGAUCUUAGAAUUUUAGGCUACACCAGAUACCGUUCCAUGUAGGUUGCUGUUGCCCAUCCGCCGUUCACAUGAAUACGCAUCUCCCUGCCACCGUGCCUCGUCAACUCAUCCACACGCACCACUCGUCGAUGUUUUGACUAAGACUGUCACGUCAUAAUCAGGGUGUGUCGGAGAGUUGUGGGGGACGAAGUUGGAAGUGCCGGGUCCAGCAAGUGACGGAGCUGUGCUCCGGCAAGCUGCUACGUUGCGAGUUCGGCAAGUGGGAAUGGUGGUGUCCGGCAAGUGGAGCCGGUGUGCUCCGGCACGCUACUGCGUCGCUAGUCUGGCAAGUGGAGACGGUAUCCUCCGAUUACGUUUGCGAUUCCUCAACACAAGAAAAAAUCAUGUACAAAACACACGAAAAAUCAUGUGGAUGAAUUGCUAAGAUACAGGUUAAAGGAGACAAAUACGCAAGAAGGAUAUCGUGUUGUACACAACACACAAUACGGGAUUAUUCGUAAACUCUUUUAGAACAUACCUAGAUUUGAUCGUAUACAAGACAAAACAAGAACAUUUACUUCGAGGUGAAGACAAAAGAAACUUCAAUGAA